GAGGGAGCUGUCGAAGGUGGGACUGGCGAUUGGGACGAAGUCGUAACAAGGUAGCCGUACCGGAAGGUGCGGCUGGAUCACCUCCUUUCUAAGGAG
rnacentral:rRNA from 4 species